ACUUUGAUGUUGAUCAUUAUCAAUAUUUAGAAUGCCUGAACUCUGUUUAUCUGAUGUUCUUGGCCCACUUGCCAAAAGACAUUGUUUGAAAGUGCAUUUCGCAGAAAAAGCAUAUCAUGAUGAAAGCAAAGAAACUCACCAUUGCAGAUAUUUCAAAAAUAUGUACAGCUGAUAUUGAUGAACAAAACUGGUUUAAUGUUAAAUAUAAAGUUAUUGCAAUUCUCUCCUAUUAUUGACAAACUGGUUAAACAAAAUUUUUUGGAACAUCUCCAUUUCUUAUAGCACAUGAUCAAGACAAGAACAAUGUCAAAUAUUCACUUUCUAAUUCACAAUCUCUUAACAGUGCCUCCUGCCUGCUUAACAAUAAUCAUGUGAUACAUAAAUUAUUUAAAUUAUGAUAAUCAUGAUUUAAGUGAUGAGGAGAAAAAUCAUGAUGGAGUAGAAGAAAGCAAAGAUGCCAAAUUGAUCAAAUUAAUGAUUAAAGCCAUCUUAAUUUAUAGAGAACUAAAAUAUUUCAUUAAUUAUGAAAACAGGGAUCUAAUUUGCAUAUUAAUAUCCCUCAUGGACUCCUGCAUAAUGCCUAAAUUUGGGUCAAAUUGGUAUUGGCAGUUUCCUUCCUUCCAUUUUCAGUGGCAAAGCUCCUUUCAAACUUUCUCUAUUCCUUCUGAAAUCACUUCAUGCAAGUUUUACUCUGAUGUUAAUUUCUUCCUUAAUAUUGCCAUUUAAUAAUAAUUAUUGUCUGAAAAAAAUGUAACUAUUGAAAAUUUCUAGUUCUGCUUCACUUAGUUUUAUUUUUUGUUGAUUUAUAAAAUCAUUAAACAUUACUAUUGUUUUUAAAAUUCAUGUUUAGUCCUAUAAUACUGCUUUAACAGAUAAGCUCAUUAAUUGUAUCUUAAAGUUCAUCUGCACUAAGUCAUCAGGAUAACAUCUGCAAGUCUCAACUGAUUCAAAUAUUGUCCAUUUAUUUUGAUGCCUUUGUGUUCCUAAUUCAUGUUUGAAAACAUUCUGCAGAACUAAGUUAAAUAAUUUUGUUGAGAUAGUAUCACUUUGUCUUGCCUUUUCUAUUUAUAAACUUUUUACUUAUUUUAUGUAGAUAUAUCUUUUGCUGUGGCUUCCUUGUAGAUGUUUUUGAUAAAUGCAUGAUAUCUUUGAUCUAAAUCAAUAUUUUUGAGAACUUUUAAAAUAGCAGUGUGUCUCACAAAAUCUAAAGCUUUCUCAUAGACAACAAAAGUUACACAUAGUAUAAAAUCAUAUUCUAGUUCUUUCAGUCAGUUCUCUCAUUAUAUGGAUAUGAUCAAUUUUAAACCCUGUUUGUUCUAUUGUUCAGUUUUAUCUAUGCACUUUUGUAAUAUUUGCCAAAUUUUUCAUCAGA
rnacentral:lncRNA from 1 species